UACGUAGGGGGCAAGCGUUGUCCGGAAUUACUGGGCGUAAAGCGCACGUAGGCGGAUUGUUAAGUCGGGGGUGAAAUCCCGGGGCUCAACCCCGGAACUGCCUUCGAUACUGGCGAUCUCGAGUCCGGAAGAGGUUAGUGGAAUUCCCAGUGUAGAGGUGAAAUUCGUAGAUAUUGGGAAGAACACCAGUGGCGAAGGCGGCUAACUGGUCCGGUACUGACGCUGAGGUGCGAAAGCGUGGGGAGCAAACAGG
rnacentral:rRNA from 1 species